rnacentral:lncRNA from 1 species
CCCCAGAGAGCAGUGGAUAAAUGCCAUUAUCCAGGCCGACGAAACCAGUUAGGAGCCAUGUUAGGAAAAAUUAAAAGAAAAACAAAAACCUGAUGGAGGAGAUCUCAAAAUGGAACUUUUAACCUUGAUAGCCAUCUAGAGUAAGCGAAUUUCAUGGCUGGAAGCCAUCACUCCAUCUGUCUGUUGCCUGCACGUUUGGGAUCUGGUAACAGGACCACAAGAAAACUCUUGCAGCAAACUGAAGGUUUCUAUUUCAGAUCCUUCCACCACCUUCACCACCAUCAUUUCCAUAAUCCACCACCACCAUCACCACUAUCAUCACUACUACCUUCAUCACCACCUCUCAAUACCUCCAUCAUCACCACCCACCAUCAUCACCUCCACCACCAUGAGCACCACAUCUACCAUCAAAAAAGAGUUUAUUUCCCAGCUCUUUGACUCUUGACGCUGGGUUGGCCAUGUGACUUCUCUGGCUAAUAGGAUAUUAACAAAUGUGAUGCAAGCAGUGGCUUGAAAAAAGCAUGCACUUUGGAGUUUGCCCUCUCUUGUUGAUCUGGGAACCCUGCCACUACCACCACGUGAUCUAAUCUGGGCUGGCCUGCUGGAGGAUAACCGAUCAUGUGGAGCAGAGAUGAGCUAGUCCAGCUCCAGCCCUACGAGACUAAUCAGCCCGCCAAUCAGCAGAUACAUGAGAGACCAUUCUGGACCAUCCAGACCCUGCUCAGCUGGCCGAGGCCUGAACACCCCCCAGGUUGAGAGACUAGAGAUUCAUGAUAAAUAAUAAAAUAUUUAUUGUUUGAAGCCACAAAAUGUUGUGGUGGUUUGUUAUAGAGCAAAAGCUGGCUGAUACAGGGACCGUAUCUCACUGAGUUUUAUUUUCCUCUUUUCUCUUUAUCCAUUCCAAAAAGUUUGGGUAAAACGUUUGGUUUAUUGGAGCCAGUUAUCAUAAACACACGAUCUUUCACUUUCUUCCAAUUCUAAAAGCUCUGAUUGUCUUAUAUUAGUAAGCUUCCUGUCUCAGUUAUGGUCUUUACAGAAGAAAGGGGCUGGGGCUAAAGGUAGUAGAAACGAG